rnacentral:misc_RNA from 1 species
GCUUAUCAUUUUAGGAGGGAGGGAGGGAGGCCAUUAAAGUACAAAGGGAGAAAAUGACUUCCAGAAGGAAAAUGCUUCUGUUACGGUCACUGCCAGAUUUGUGUCUUUUAUCAUCUAUUUUACUUAACUUUCCAUUUCCUAACAAAAAGAAUAGUGGAAGUCCCACAAUUAAGAACUUUAAAAGAAGCAUAGCUCCCACCUUUUGAAUUAACGUGACG